rnacentral:rRNA from 1 species
GGGAGGGGUGCAAGCGUGUUCGGAAUUACUGGGCGUAAAGCGCGUGUAGGCGGCACUUUAUGUCGGGGUGUGAAAGCCCUGGGCCCAACCCAGGAAGUGCGCCCGAAACUGAAGAGCUUGAGUACGAUAGAGGAGGACGGAAUUCCCAGUGUAGAGGUGAAAUUCGUAGAUAUUGGGAAGAACACCGGUGGCGAAAGCGGUUCUCUGGAUCGAUACUGACGCUAAGACGCGAAAGCGUGGGGAGCAAACAGGAUUAGAUACCCUGGUAGUCCACGCCGUAAACGAUGGAUACUAGUUGUUGGAAGCUUUUAAACUUUCAGUGACGACGCUAACGCAUUAAGUAUCCCGCCUGGGGAGUACGGUCGCAAAGGCUAA